rnacentral:misc_RNA from 1 species
AGCAGCCGCGGUAAUUCCAGCUCCAAUAGCGUAUAUUAAAGUUGUUGCAGUUAAAAGCUCGUAGUUGAAUUUCGGGAUCAAUAUGUCGGUCGUGCCUUGGUACGUACUGGUAUCAUUGGUCUCUCCUUUCUGACGAACCAUGAUGUCAUUAAUUUGGUGUUAUGGGAAGUUAGGACUGUUACUUUGAAAAAUUAGAGUGUUUAAAGCAGGCUUUAGCUUGAAUACAUUAGCAUGGAAUAAUGAAAUAGGACGUUCGAACCUAUUUUGUUGGUUUCUAGGAUCAACGUAAUGAUUAAUAGGGAUAGUUGGGGGCAUUAGUAUUCAAUUGUCAGAGGUGAAAUUCUUGGAUUUAUUGAAGACUAACUACUGCGAAAGCAUUUGCCAAGGAUGUUUUCAUUAAUCAAGAACGAAAGUUAGGGGAUCGAAGACGAUCAGAUACCGUCGUAGUCUUAACCAUAAACUAUGCCGACUAGGGAUCGGAUGAUGUUAAUUUUUAAUGACUCAUUCGGCGUCCUUACGG